UAUUGCUUACAUAUUCUGGAAAUUUCGGCGCGACCUUUCUAUUAUUGAUUAUCGUUACGCUACGGUUGGUUGGCAAUAGAAUAUCGUCAUGCAUCUAUUUUUAAAUGUUAGGAAAUCACCUUCCUGUAUUAAGUGGACAGCGGAUGUACAGCCUUAUUUUCAAUCAUAUUGUUUAAACAAACGUUGACAACAUCUCAUCGAAAGAAGAACAAUAAGCUGAAGAUAUCUAUUGUCAUGCAAACUAGAGCCAUACGCUUACUUACUGAUAAGCCUUAUAGUCUUACAAAUGAUGUUAGAAACUGCUGGUCGGCCACAUAUGAACUGUUGCAAGUUUAGAAGAUGUCCACGAGGAAGAAGCUGCGUUAAUAUUGGUUCUCGUUGUCGUUGCAAGAGCAAUCGGGUUAUUUCCAGACUUUUUCGUCAUGCUUAAAGGACCGGCGAAAAGACACAGACAUAAACACAGGUACUAGAACUGAACUAUCAGACCAGACUAGUGAUAUUGGUCUUUUCAACUGUCAUAAUGAAUUUAUAUAUACUGUGAUGUCAUCUCGUCGCGCCAUUAUUGGAGGCAGUAUUCUCUGGUCUCGUCACACUGCACAGUCUUGUACGGUACCUUUAGACUGCGAUGUGAAUACAGUUCACUGAGAUACGAGCUAUGCUCGUACGGUAUCUACAUAAACUGAGAUGUGACCUCUACAUAUUGUGAUUUCGGCCUCUACACCUUUUGCGAUGUGAUAAAUAGUCUAUUUCGUUGUGGUAAGACAACAUGAAUUCUGAACGCCAUAUAAACUGUACAUGUUGCAAAAUGAACUAUUGUCUCUGCGAUAUGAGGUCCGAAAGUUAUUAAAUGAAAAUAUUUGUAAUUAUAUGAAUGUAUAUGUUUUACAUUUUACUUAUUGUUGUGUGUAUUACAUAAAUAUACAGCUAGUCAGUAUAUUUUAUUUCUAAAUCUAGCUCAUUAUAUUUUAUUGUGUCAAAUUUGUUUUACAUAGUUUCGUCAGUUAUUUUUUAGUAAAACUUUAAACUUUA
rnacentral:lncRNA from 1 species